rnacentral:rRNA from 1 species
GAUGAACGCUGGCGGCGUGCUUAACACAUGCAAGUCGAACGGUGACGCCCUUCUUGCUCUUUGUUUCAGUAACGAACGAGUGAGUCAUACGUAAGCUUCCCCCCCCUUUCUCUUGACUCUCCGCUGGAAACGCUAUUUCCUACUACAUCUCAGCUUCGCCCGCGUUCUCUGUGGUUGGUUUUUUUUUUCGGUUUGGGAUGGGCUCCCGUCCUCUCAGUUUGUUGGUGGGGUAAUGGCUCACCAAGGAGUCGACGGGUACCCGGCAUGAGAGGGUGACCGGCCACACUGGGACUGAGACACGGACCAGACUACUACGGGAGGCAGCAGUGGGGAAUAUUGCACAAUGGGCGGAAGCCUGAUGCAGCAACGCCGCGUGAGGGAUGACGGCCUUCGGGUUGUAAACCUCUUUAAGCAGGGAAGAAGCGAAAGUGACGGUACCUGCAGAAGAAGCGCCGGCUAACUACGUG